rnacentral:rRNA from 1 species
AGAAUCAACGCUGGCGGCGUGCCUAACACAUGCAAGUCGAACGAGAAAGUGGAGCAAUCCAUGAGUAAAGUGGCGCACGGGUGAGUAACACGUGACUACCUACCCUUGAGUGGGGGAUAACCUAGGGAAACCUGGGCUAAUACCGCAUAACACCUUCGGGUCAAAGGAGCAAUUCGCUUAAGGAGGGGGUCGCGGCCGAUUAGUUAGUUGGCGGGGUAAUGGCCCACCAAGACGAUGAUCGGUAUCCGGCCUGAGAGGGCGCACGGACACACUGGAACUGAAACACGGUCCAGACUCCUACGGGAGGCAGCAGUGGGGAAUUUUGCGCAAUGGGGGAACCCUGACGCAGCAACGCCGCGUGGAGGAUGAAGUCCCUUGGGACGUAAACUCCUUUCGUUCGGGACGAUUAUGACGGUACCGGAAGAAGAAGCCCGGCUAACUUCGUGCCAGCAGCCGC